rnacentral:sRNA from 1 species
AGGCUCCUGCUAGAGGUGGGGUGGAUCUGUAGGGAUGGCCUCAGGGAAUGUCAUGUCCCUCCCUUUCCAGGGUGCCAUGAACAUAGGGCAGUAGGAGUGAGGAGGACAGGGUGCCAUGGGGACUGAUGUUAUGGAAGAGGGGGACUUGAGCUGGCUCAGGAUAGGAUGAGGGUAGAAGCUGGAGGAUAGCACAGGAGAGAGGGACAACGUGCGCAAGUCGAGUAUGGAGAUGACGAUACCUUAGUUGGGACUGGUGCUUUUGCAGGAUUAGAAAUUCACUCAAACUUACUCAAAUAACAAGAGAUUUAUUUUAAGAAAGCAAGAGACAAGCUCCUGGGUGUAGGAAAUGAAAUAUAACCAGGCCUCUUGGGAACUGGAGCUAGAGAUGCUGUGGGAAACGAAGGCCUUCCCUCCUUUCAGCUACCAUGUUCCUGGAAAACUGGAAGAGGCUACAGAUGCGACUGGGCUACUUUUGGGACCUGACUGGCAUAGAAGAGGAAGAAGAACAUUCCAGGCCUGAGUAUGAAACCAAAGUUCGAGAGAAAAUGCUAAAGGAGAGCAACAAGUCUGCUGUCCAGAAAUUGGAAACAAACACGACGGAGUGUGGCGAUGAGGAUGAUGAAGAUAAACUGACCUGGAAGGAUCGUUUCCCAGGUUACCUGAUGAACUUUGCCUCCAUCUUAUUCAUGAUUGCCCUGACAUUCUCAAUCGUCUUUGGGGUGAU